ACGGGUGCGUAACACGUGAGCAAUCUGCCGGGAAGUGGGGGAUAGCUCGCCGAAAGGCGAAUUAAUACCGCAUAUGGCCAGGAAGGACAUCCUUCUGAAGCCAAAGUCGCAAGACGCUUCCUGAUGAGCUCGCGGCCUAUCAGCUUGUUGGUGAGGUAACGGCUCACCAAGGCUAUGACGGGUAGCUGGUCUGAGAGGACGACCAGCCACACUGGAACUGAGACACGGUCCAGACACCUACGGGUGGCAGCAGUCGAGAAUUUUUCACAAUGGGGGAAACCCUGAUGGAGCGACGCCGCGUGGAGGACGAAGGUCUUCGGAUUGUAAACUCCUGUCAUGCGGGAACAAGAAAGUGAUAGUACCGCAAGAGGAAGAGACGGCUAACUCUGUGCCAGCAGCCGCGGUAAUACAGAGGUCUCAAGCGUUGUUCGGAUUCAUUGGGCGUAAAGGGUGCGCAGGCGGCGUGGAAAGUUGAGUGUGAAAUCCCGGGGCUCAACCUCGGAACUGCACUCAAUACUCCCAUGCUAGAGGAAUGUAGAGGAGAGUGGAAUUCACGGUGUAGCAGUGAAAUGCGUAGA
rnacentral:rRNA from 1 species